GAUGAACGCUAGCGACAGGCUUAACACAUGCAAGUCGAGGGGCAGCGAGAAAGUGCUUGCACUUUUGUCGGCGACCGGCGCACGGGUGAGUAACACGUAUGCAACCUGCCCUUGUCAGGGGGAUAAGCGGGGGAAACCCCGUCUAAUACCGCAUAUAUGAUUUGGAGGCAUCUUUAAAUCAGGAAAGAAUUAUCGGACAAGGAUGGGCAUGCGGGACAUUAGGUAGUUGGGGGUGUAACGGACCACCAAGCCGACGAUGUCUAGGGGUUCUGAGAGGAAGGUCCCCCACACUGGUACUGAGACACGGACCAG
rnacentral:rRNA from 1 species